rnacentral:rRNA from 1 species
AUUGAACGCUGGCGGCAGGCCUAACACAUGCAAGUCGAGCGAGCGGCGGACGGGUGAGUAAUGUCCGGGAAACUGCCUGAUGGAGGGGGAUAACUACUGGAAACGGUAGCUAAUACCGCAUACCAUCAGAUGUGCCCAGAUGGGAUUAGCUAGUAGGUGGGGUAACGGCUCACCUAGGCGACGAUCCCUAGCUGGUCUGAGAGGAUGACCAGCCACACUGGAACUGAGACACGGUACAGACUCCUACGGGAGGCAGCAGUGGUGAAUAUUGUACAAGGGGCGCAAGCCGGAUGCAGCCGUGCCGCGUGUGUGGAGAGGGCCUUCGGGUUGUAAAGCACGUUCAGCGGGGAGGCGUUACCCGCAGAAGAAGCACCGGCUAACUCCGUGCCAGCCGCCGCGGUAAUUC